UGUUCGGAAUUAUUGGGCGUAAAGGGUGCGUAGGCGGUUUGGUAAGUCUGAUGUGAAAUCUAUGGGCUCAACUCAUAGUCUGCAUCGGAAACUGCCGGGCUUGAGUAUGGGAGAGGUGAGUGGAAUUCCUGGUGUAGCGGUGAAAUGCGUAGAUAUCAGGAGGAACACCUGUGGCGAAAGCGGCUCACUGGACCAUAACUGACGCUGAUGCACGAAAGCUAGGGGAGCAAACAGG
rnacentral:rRNA from 1 species